UACGAAGGGAGCUAGCGUUGUUCGGAAUUACUGGGCGUAAAGGGAGCGUAGGCGGACAUUUAAGUCAGAGGUGAAAUCCCGGAGCUUAACUUCGGAACUGCCUUUGAUACUGGGUGUCUUGAGUGUGAGAGAGGUAUGUGGAACUCCGAGUGUAGAGGUGAAAUUCGUAGAUAUUCGGAAGAACACCAGUGGCGAAGGCGACAUACUGGCUCAUUACUGACGCUGAGGCUCGAAAGCGUGGGGAGCAAACAGG
rnacentral:rRNA from 1 species